GUCCUAGCCCUAAACUAUGAAUACUUGGUGUCUGGAGUUUUUAUCCUCCGGGUGCCGUCGCUAACGUUUUAAGUAUUCCGCCUGGGGAGUACGCACUCAAGUGUGAAACUCAAAGGAAUUGACGGGGACCCGCACAAGCGGUGGAGCAUGUGGUUUAAUUCGACGCAACGCGAAGAACCUUACCUGGACUAGAAUGUGAGGGAAGGACUUCUAAUAGAGUCCGUCCGGGCAACCGGACCCGAAACAAGGUGCUGCAUGGCUGUCGU
rnacentral:rRNA from 1 species